GACGAACGCUGGCGGCGUGCCUAAUACAUGCAAGUCGAACGCAGUGGGGACGGGUGAGUAACACGUGGGUAACCUCCCAUCAGAGGGGAUAACACUUGGAAACAGGUGCUAAACCGAUACUGAUGGAUGGACCCGCGGUGCAUUAGCUAGUUGGUGGGGUAACGGCUCACCAAGGCCACGAUGCAUAGCCGACCUGGGAGGGUGGUCGGCCACACUGGGACUUGGACCCGGCCCAAACUCCGACGGGAGGCAGCAGUGAGGAAUCUUCGGCGAUGGACGCAAGUCUGACCGAGCAAAGCCGCGUGAGUGAAGAAGGUUUUCGGAUCGUAAAACUCUGUUGUUAGAGAAGCGGUAUCUAACCAGAAAGGCACGGCUAACUACGUGCCAGCAGCCGCGGUAAUUC
rnacentral:rRNA from 1 species